rnacentral:lncRNA from 1 species
UUGCAAUGAAAAUAAAUGUUUUUUAUUAGGCAGAAUCCAGAUGCUCAAGGCCCUUCAUAAUAUCCCCCAGUUUAAAAUUGGACAGCAAGAAAGCGAGCUUAGUGAUACUUGUGGGCCAGGGCAUUAGCCACACCAGCCACCACUUUCUGAUAGGCAGCCUGCACUGGGCCUCACCACCAACUUCAUCCACGUUCACCUUGCCCCACAGGGCAGUAACGGCAGACUUCUCCUCAGGAGUCAGAUGCACCAUGGUGUCUGUUUGAGGUUGCUAGUGAACACUGUUAUGUCAGAAGAAAGUGUAAGCAACAGUCGACUCUGCCCUGCCUUUUAUGCUGG